GCUCCGCAGUCUCAUCCUCCAACCCACAGAUCAGACAGGAGGUCAGAACCUCCAUGCCCCUAUCCCUAAGAAGAGCCUAAGUAGGAAGCCGGUGCCAGGCCAGUUUUUAAAGAAAGAUCCUCACCCUAGGGUGGACAGUAACUCUCCAAAUCUAGAUAACAUCGAUCUUUCUAGUAGGCAUCGAUCCAUAUAACUGAGAAAGAUCCUUCAAGGAGACCAU
rnacentral:lncRNA from 1 species